CCUACGGGAGGCAGCAGUGAGGAAUAUUGGUCAAUGGACGAGAGUCUGAACCAGCCAAGUAGCGUGAAGGAUGACUGCCCUAUGGGUUGUAAACUUCUUUUAUAUGGGAAUAAAAUGUUCCACGUGUGGGAUUUUGUAUGUACCAUAUGAAUAAGGAUUGGCUAACUCCGGGCCAGCAGCCGCGGUUAUACGGAGGAUCCGAGCGUUAUCCGGAUUUAUUGGGUUUAAAGGGAGCGUAGGUGGAUGGUUAAGUUAGUUGUGAAAGUUUGCGGCUCAAACGUAAAAUUGCAGUUGAAACUGGCAGUCUUGAGUACAGUAGAGGUAGGCGGAAUUCGUGGUGUAGCGGUGAAAUGCUUAGAUAUCACGAAGAACUCCGAUUGCGAAGGCAGUUCACUGGACUGCAACUGACGCUGAGGCUCGAAAGUGUGGGUAUCAAACAGGAUUAGAUACCCCAGUAGUC
rnacentral:rRNA from 1 species